rnacentral:lncRNA from 10 species
UCCCCCUGCCCCAAAUCUAUGUCUCCCAUCUCCUUGAACGUCACAACCAUCUGCCAGUUACUCAACAGGAAAGCACAGAAUAAAUGCCGACUCCUCCUCAGCUAGUUCUGCCUCCUUAGUCCUGAAGCCAACCCCUGCUCUGCCCCUGCUUGGACUGUAGCAAAGGCCCUCCUGCCUCUGGCUUUGCCCAUCCAUAGAUCCAUCCUUCAAACUGGCACCUGAGUCACCUCUUUUUAGGCCAGCCUGGCUGAGUCACUUACUUGCUAAAACCACUGAGGACUCCCAAGUCUGUACUGCUCAUUCUGGCACUUGAGGCCCUUCCCGAGUUCUUCCCGGGCCUCCUCAUUUCCAAUCAUCCCCCUGCCAGGCACACAGUUCCAGCCCAAGCCUUGUGUGCUGCUCCUCCCAACCUGCCACUCACUGGCCUGCCCUGGAACCGGAGACUCCAUGCUCCUUGGACACCCAGCUCCCUUCCACACUCAAAGGCCCUCUCUGCAAUUGCAGGGUCCAACUCCUGCCUCCAGAGCCUUGCAGAAUGAGUCUGUUUUUUCUUCUAGCGACAGCCUUUCAAAUUUCUUUCAAGGGUUGCUGUAUUUAGUGGAUGACUACCAUUUCCCAUCCUUCCUGAAUCCCAAUUAAUAACCUCACGAUGAAAAGAGUCUUCAAAGCCAGAGAUAUCAUUUUCAUGGACUCAACCGCAAAUUCAGAGGGAGGUGGUUUUACUCAGCUGGAAGAAGGCACUAACGAUACAUCUGAUAUGUAAGAGGAAAUGAAACAAUGAGAAAUGGUAUCUUUGCUGGAGAUAAUUCCAAUUAUCAUGUUGAGAUCCAAGCCAUCACAAAUAUGUAAGAUCCUGUUUUUACUUAAUAGCAUUUUAAUGGAAAUGUCGGGCUUAUGAAAUAAAAGUGACUGGUAAAGAAAAUAUAAAUCAAGCUGACUAGUCCUUUGGGAUAAUUUUUUUAAAACUGAAUUUGUUAUAUCCUUGAUUCAUU